UUUCUAUGGAGUUAAUCAUAGUAAAUUAGUUUAUAUAAGCUGAGCGAAUCGAUAAAACAGCUUAUGACUAAAUCUGGUUCUAUCUAGUUUUCAGAGAUUGUUUAGCAUUUAUAUAAUAAAUGCUCUUUCUCUGAAAAAAAAUUGUUCUUUGAAAACUGAAUAUUAGAUGAAAAUAGACAUUUUAUUUUUCUUACGUUUCAUAUUAAAAAAAACGUAUAUAGUAACUUUAAAAUUAAAUUACUAAGAAAAACUGAAAUUUCAUAUUUAUUAGAUUAUCUAUAAUGCAAAA
rnacentral:misc_RNA from 2 species